rnacentral:rRNA from 1 species
UACAGAGGGUGCAAGCGUUAAUCGGAAUUACUGGGCGUAAAGCGUGCGUAGACGGUUAUUUAAGUCAGGUGUGAAAGCCCCGGGCUCAACCUGGGAAUUGCAUUUGAGACCGAAUAGCUAGGGUGCGGAAGAGGGAAGCGGAAUUUCCGGUGUAGCGGUGAAAUGCGUAGAUAUCGGAAGGAACACCAGUGGCGAAAGCGGCUUCCUGGUCCAGCACCGACGUUCAGGCACGAAAGCGUGGGGAGCAAACAGG